CCGGUUCAGGACCGUCACGGAAAAACGGUCACUUAACGACCUUUGACGGUCCUGAACAGUCAAAAAAUUAAAUAAGCUUAGAAAUCUCCAGACCCUCUAGAGAACUCUGGCUCCACUUGCAAGUUGAAUACAGGUACUGCAUUCAACCAUGCAAGUCAAUGGAGCCCAGCUUUCUAAUCACAAUGUGAUUAGUAAAAUAUUCAAAAAAUAAUAAAAAAAAAAAGGAAAUUUUUUUUUACAAAAAAUGUGCUAACAUUUAAAAAUAAUUAUGCAGUGAUGUCACUAGAGGAACCAUCCAGUACCAGCAAAAUGAUUAAAAAAAUAAAAAAUAAAGUUUAUUAUUUUGAGCAAGUGCUAACAUUUCUCAAAAA